CCUGGAGACUCCUACGGGAGGCAGCAGUGGGGAAUCUUCGGCAAUGGACGGAAGUCUGACCGAGCAACGCCGCGUGAGUGAAGAAGGUUUUCGGAUCGUAAAGCUCUGUUGUAAGAGAAGAACGAGUGUGAGAGUGGAAAGUUCACACUGUGACGGUAUCUUACCAGAAAGGGACGGCUAACUACGUGCCAGCAGCCGCGGUAAUACGUAGGUCCCGAGCGUUGUCCGGAUUUAUUGGGGGUAAAGCGAGCGCAGGCGGUUAUAUAAGUCUGAAGUUAAAGGAUGUGGCUUAACCAUAGUACACUUUAGAAACUGUUUAACUUGAGUGCAAGAGGGGAGAGUGGAAUUCCAUGUGUAGCGGUGAAAUGCGUAGAUAUAUGGAGGAACACCGGUGGCGAAAGCGGCUCUCUGGCUUGUAACUGACGCUGAGGCUCGAAAGCGUGGGGAGAAAACAGGAUUAGAUACCCGUGUAGUCCUAG
rnacentral:rRNA from 1 species